rnacentral:rRNA from 1 species
UACGUAGGGGGCAAGCGUUAUCCGGAUUCACUGGGUGUAAAGGGGGCGUAGACGGCGACGCAAGUCUGGAGUGAAAGCCCGGGGCCCAACCCCGGGACUGCUCUGGAAACUGCGGCGCUGGAGUACGGGAGGGGCAGGCGGAAUUCCUGGUGUAGCGGUGAAAUGCGUAGAUAUCAGGAGGAACACCGGCGGCGAAGGCGGCCUGCUGGACCGUGACUGACGUUGAGGCUCGAGAGCGUGGGGAGCAAACAGG